rnacentral:rRNA from 1 species
UACGUAGGGUGCAAGCGUUGUCCGGAAUUAUUGGGCGUAAAGAGCUCGUAGGCGGUUUGUUGCGUCGGCUGUGAAAUCCCGAGGCUCAACCUCGGGUCUGCAGUCGAUACGAGCAAACUAGAGUGUUGCAGGGGAGACUGGAAUUCCUGGUGUAGCGGGUGAAAUGCGCAGAUAUCAGGAGGAACACCGGUGGGCGAAGGCGGGUCUCUGGGGCAACAACUGACGCUGGAGGAGCGAAAGCCGUGGGGAGCAACAGG